rnacentral:rRNA from 1 species
UACGAAGGGGGCUAGCGUUGUUCGGAAUCACUGGGCGUAAAGGGUGCGUAGGCGGGUCUUUAAGUCAGGGGUGAAAUCCUGGAGCUCAACUCCAGAACUGCCUUUGAUACUGAGGAUCUUGAGUUCGGGAGAGGUGAGUGGAACUGCGAGUGUAGAGGUGAAAUUCGUAGAUAUUGGGAAGAACACCGGUGGCGAAGGCGGCUCACUGGCUCACUUCUGACGCUCAGGCGCGACAGCGUGGGGAUCAAACAGG